UGUGUCGUUUAUGGGGGCGUAUGGUGGAUGCCUUGGCAGACAGUACCGAUGAAGGACGUAGCAGAUUGCGAUAAGCCUCGGGGAGCCGUCAAGCGGGCUUUGAUCCGAGGGUGUCCGAAUGGGGCAACCCGCCGGCCUUGAUGGGCUGGCACCCGCCUUUGUGGCGUGGAGGGUACGCAGGGAAGUGAAACAUCUCAGUACCUGUAGGAAAAGAUAUUCCGUGAGUAGUGGCGAGCGAAAGCGGAGCAUGGCUAAACCUCAUGCGUGUGAUAGCCGUCGGGCGUUGCGUGUGGGGUGUCGUGGGAGCAUGUGUCCGGUCUCCGAUGGGGCCGGCCGGUGAAUGUGAGCGUGGUAGGCGAACCGGGUUGAAUCCCGGGCCGUAGAGGGUGAUGGCCCCGUAGCCGAAGGCGCGCUCCUGCCGGAUUGUGUGUCCCGAGUAGCACGGUCCACGAGGAAUUCCGUGUGAAUCUGCCCAGACCGUUGGGUAAAGCCUAAAUAUACCUGUCUGACCGAUAGUGAACGAGUACCGUGAGGGAAAGGUGAAAAGCACCCCGGGAGGGGAGUGAAAUAGUUUCUGAAACCGUGCGCCAGCGAACCGUCGGAGCCUUGUUAUGGGGUGACGGCGUGCCUAUCGAAAAAUGAGUCUGCGAGUCAGUGGCAUGUGGCGAGGCUAACCCGUGUGGGGGAGCCGUAGCGAAGGCGAGUCUCAAUGAGGCGUUUGAGUCGCGUGUCCUGGACCCGAAGCGGGAUGAUCUAGCCCUGAGCAGGUUGAAGCGCGGGUAAGACCGCGUGGAGGACCGCACCCACCUAGGUUGAAAACUGGGGGGAUGACUUGGGGUUAGGGGUGAAAGGCCAAUCAAAUUCCGUGAUAGCUGGUUCUCUCCGAAAUGCAUUUAGGUGCAGCGUCGCGUGUUUCCCCAUCGGGGGUAGAGCUACUGGAUGCCUGAGGGCCCGUUUGCGGGUACCGAAGGCAACCAAACUCCGAAUACCGUGGGGUUCAGCGCGGCAGUGAGUCGGCGGGGGAUAAGCUCCGUCGUCGAAAGGGAAACAGCCCAGACCGUCGUCUAAGGUCCCUAAGCGUGUGCUAAGUGGGAAAGGAUGUGGAGUCGCAUCGACAGCCAGGAGGUUGGCUCAGAAGCAGCCAUCCUUGAAAGAGUGCGUAACAGCUCACUGGUCUAGUGGUUCCGCGCCGACAAUGUAGCGGGGCUCAAGCACACCACCGAAGACGCGGCAGCAUCGUUUGAUGCUGGGUAGGAGAGCGUCCCCCUCGGGGCGAAGCGGCGGCGUAAGCCUGUCGUGGACUGUGGGGGAGUGAGAAUGCAGACAUGAGUAGCGAGAGACGGGUGAGGAUCCCGUCCGCUGGAUGACCAAGGUUUCCGGGGCCACGUUCAUCGUCCCCGGGUGAGUCGGGUCCUAAGGCGAGGCCGACAGGCGUAGUCGAAUGGAUGAACGGGUUGAUAUUCCCGUACCGGCGUGCGACCGACAGGUCCGAGGCGUGGGUACUAACCUCCGGUGUCGUGGAUGGUUCCCUUCGGGGUUCCUGAUGCGGUGCUGUUGGGACAGACCGUGUAGUAGGGCAGCGCAGGAGUGACAUGACGGGUAGGCCGGCUGCGGCGGUGGUAGUCCGUGGCCAAGCGUGCGGCCCUUCCCCUAGGCAAAUCCGGGGGUGUUUAUGGGCGAGGCGUGAUGGUGGGUCCCUUUAGGGACGAAUCCGGUGGAUCCCGUGAUCGAGAAAAGCUUCGGCGUGAGGGCGUACGGCGCCCGUACCGCAAACCGACACAGGUGGUCAGGUAGAGUAUACCAAAGCGAUCGAGCGAAUCCUGGUCAAGGAACUCGGCAAAUUGCUCCCGUGCCUUCGGCAUAAGGGAGACCCCUUCGGGUGAACGUCCUAGCGGCGGGAGCCUUGGGGGGGUGGCACAAGCCAGGGGGUAGCGACUGUUUACCAAAAACACAGGUGCAUGCGAAGGCGCAAGCCGCUGUAUAUGCACUGACGCCUGCCCGGUGCCGGAAGGUUAAGAGGAUCCGUCAUCCCUCCUUGUGAGGGGGCAGCGGUGAAUUCAAGCCCCGGUAAACGGCGGUGGUAACUAUAACCAUCCUAAGGUAGCGAAAUUCCUUGUCGGGUAAGUUCCGACCUGCACGAAUGGCGUAACGACUUCCCCACUGUCUCGACCAGGAGCUCGGCGAAAUUGCAGUACGAGUAAAGAUGCUCGUUAAGCGCAGAAGGACGAAAAGACCCCGGGACCUUUACUAUACCUUGGUAUUGGCGUUAGACGGUGGCUGUGUAGCAUAGGCGGAAGGCUUCGAUCUCAUGGCGCCAGCCAUGGGUGAGCCGCAAGGUGAAAUACCGCUCUGCCGCCGUCUGGCGUCUCACCUCGACACGUUAUCCGUGUCAGGGACAGUGCCUGGCGGGUAGUUUAACUGGGGCGGUUGCCUCCCAAAGAGUAACGGAGGCGCCCAAAGGUUCCCUCAGCCCGGUUGGCAAUCGGGUGUUGAGUGCAAUCGCACAAGGGAGCUUGACUGCGAGACCGACGGGUCGAGCAGGGACGAAAGUCGGGGAUAGUGAUCCGGUGCCGGCGUACGGACGCGGCAUCGCUCAACGGAUAAAAGGUACCCCGGGGAUAACAGGCUGAUCAUUCCCAAGAGUCCAUAUCGACGGGAUGGUUUGGCACCUCGAUGUCGGCUCGUCGCAUCCUGGGGCUGUAGCAGGUCCCAAGGGUUCGGCCGUUCGCCGAUUAAAGCGGCACGCGAGCUGGGUUCAGAACGUCGUGAGACAGUUUGGUCUCUAUCCUCUGCGCUCGUUGGAAUACUGAGGAGGCCUGCCCAUAGUACGAGAGGACCUGGGUGGACGAACCUCUGGUGUGCCGGUUGCCGCGCCAGCGGCAUGGCCGGUUGGCUACGUUCGGGAGGGAUAACCGCUGAAAGCAUCUAAGCGGGAAGCCUGCUCCAAGAUAAGUAUUCCGCACGUCCUUGAGGCGUGGAAGGCCCCAGGUAGAACACCUGGUUGAUAGGCCGGACGUGGAAGCCUGUGAGGGGUGGAGCCGACCGGUACUAAUGGCCGAACGGCGAUACACU
rfam:Bifidobacterium bombi DSM 19703 DSM19703_C1, whole genome shotgun sequence.